GAUCAUGGUCAGGAUGGACGCUGGCGGCGUGCCUAACACAUGCAAGUCGAACGAAGCAAUUGAAGGAAGUUUUCGGAUGGAAUUCGAUUGACUGAGUGGCGGACGGGUGAGUAACGCGUGGAUAACCUGCCUCACACUGGGGGAUAACAGUUAGAAAUGACUGCUAAUACCGCAUAAGCGCACAGUACCGCAUGGUACAGUGUGAAAAACUCCGGUGGUGUGAGAUGGAUCCGCG
rnacentral:rRNA from 1 species